rnacentral:tRNA from 1 species
GGGGAUGUAGCUCAAUGGUAAAGUGCUUGCCUAAAAUAUGUGAGGCCCUGGGUUCAAUUCCCACUACCACCA